AUGGACAUGGGUAACCAUCUCCUCCUCCUCCUCCUCCUCACCAUUGUUGUUAACCUCCAUGCAUUUAAGCACACUGCCAGCAGCGACAAACUCACCUUCAACGGCUUCUCCGAGGCAAAUCUGAAGCUGAGUGGCCAAGCGUCUAUGGUAGGCCGUGCUAUAAGGCUCACCGGUGGCGUCACCUUGACAGAAGGGGAUGCUUUCUACAGCAGGCCCCUUGAUUUCAGUAGCAACCCCAGCGGUGGUGGGACCUCCUUCUCGACAACCUUCGUGUUUGCCAUCAACUCUGACACUACAGAAAGCCCCUCAGGGGCUCCUGGCAUGGCCUUCGUGCUCUCUUCCACCAUGGAGCUGCAACAUCUGCACAACAACUCAGUGGUUCAGGGCCAGCUGGGUUUCAGUGAUGCAGGAGGUAACAGCUCCAAUUCAGGUGACCGAUUCUCCUUUACAAUCGAGCUCACCUACAUCAACGACUACCUUGUUGAUAUCGAUGUCAAAAACUUAGUCUCCGUUAACCAUACCACCGGCUCCCACAGGGCUAACAGCAUGUUCGAAAGCACCAAACUUAGCAGUGGCAAACCGAUGCAAGUGUGGAUACACUAUAAUGGCACGGAGCAAAAGCUAAAUGUCACCUUAGAAGAAUUCCAUGAUCAGGUCAAACGGUCUAAACCGCUGAGCCUGCCACAGUUAUCGUCCACUGUCAAUCUCUCACCUUUGCUGUCAAACUCUGAGCAUGUAUAUGCUGGGUUCUCUGCUGCAAAUGGGCAAACAAAUUACAACCAAUAUGUUCUAGGAUGGAGUUUCAUGAAAAAUGGACAAGCUCCACCACUAAACCCCUUUGAUCUCCCCCGAAUCCUGCCAAAUCCUCCUGUAGAAGAGCAUCCGAAAAAGGACAGCCCACUCCUACUGAUGGUUCCCAUUGUCACUUUGGUUCCCAUUGUCUUGGUUCUUCUUGUGCUUAUUUUUUCCUACAAUGUUAAGUUGUGGUUGAAGAAAGCCCCUGCACACGAAAAAUGGGAAAUUGACUGUGGGGUGUUGCAAUCUUUCACGUACAAAUAUCUAUUUAUUGCCACCAGCGGGUUCAACAAAAAGGCACUCCUAGGGAAAGGAGGAUUUGGGAAGGUCUACAAGGGUGUGCUGGGUGUCCCUAAGGAGACUAUUGCAAUCAAGAGGGUGUCUCCAGAAUCAAAGCAGGGGAUGAAAGAAUUCAUGGCUGAAAUCGCCAUUCUUGGUCACCUCCGCCAUCGUAACCUUGUCCAACUGAUUGGCUACUGCCGCCACAGGCAUGAACUUCUUUUGGUUUAUGAUUAUAUGCCCAACGGUAGCCUUGAUACAUAUUUGCAUAAAAAGGAUAAGCCAACUCUGGGCUGGGAUCAAAGGCUUCACAUCAUCAAAGGGGUUGCGGCUGGCCUUGUCUACUUGCAUGAGGACUGGGAACAGGUUGUUAUCCAUCGAGAUAUCAAGGUGAGCAACGUGCUCCUUGAUGAUGGAAUGAAUGGAAGGCUAGGUGAUUUCGGCCUUGCAAGGUUGCACGGACAUGAAGCCGACGCCCAUACCACGCGUGUGGCAGGCACCUGGGGUUACAUUGCUCCUGAGCUGGCUAGGCUCGGGAAGGCGACCAAGGCAACAGAUGUGUAUGCAUUUGGCAUAUUCCUGAUGGAAGUUGCAUGUGGAAGACGGCCAAUUGAGGCGAAUGCCCAUGGUGAACCUAUGGUGCUAGCAGACUGGGUGCUCAAUACAUGGCAAACUGGUUCACUCAUUGAUGCCAUGGACACAAGGUUAGAACAAGACCAUGUCACUGAAGAGGUAGAGUUAGUGCUAAAACUUGGACUCCUAUGCUCCCACUCGCUCCCCAAGGAAAGGCCAUGUAUGCGGCUCGUUAUGCAGUACCUGGAAAGCGAUGCAACGCUCCCAGAUUUCCCACCAAGUUUUUUCACUGCCAAUUCAAGCAAAGAUGAAGGAUUUGAAGACCAGGUUGCGCCCCCUCCCUCAGUGGCAACAUCUAUUACAUGCCUUUCUGGAGGAAGAUGA
rnacentral:rRNA from 1 species